UACGGAGGGUGCAAGCGUUAUCCGGAUUCACUGGGUUUAAAGGGUGCGUAGGUGGGCAGUUAAGUCAGUGGUGAAAUCUCCGGGCUUAACCCGGAAACUGCCAUUGAUACUAUCUGUCUUGAAUACCGUGGAGGUGAGCGGAAUAUGUCAUGUAGCGGUGAAAUGCUUAGAUGUGACAUAGAACACCAAUUGCGAAGGCAGCUCACUACACGAAUAUUGACACUGAGGCACGAAAGCGUGGGGAUCAAACAGG
rnacentral:rRNA from 1 species